UGGGGAAUAUUGCACAAUGGGGGAAACCCUGAUGCAGCGACGCCGCGUGAGCGAAGAAGGCUUUCGAGUCGUAAAGCUCUGUCCUAUGAGAAGAUAAUGACGGUAUCAUAGGAGGAAGCCCUGGCUAAAUACGUGCCAGCAGCCGCGGUAAUACGUAUGGGGCGAGCGUUGUCCGGAAUUAUUGGGCGUAAAGGGUACGUAGGCGGUUUUUUAAGUCAGGUGUCAAAGCGUGGAGCUUAACUCCAUUAAGCACUUGAAACUGAAAGACUUGAGUGAAGGAGAGGAAAGUGGAAUUCCUAGUGUAGCGGUGAAAUGCGUAGAUAUUAGGAGGAAUACCGGUGGCGAAGGCGACUUUCUGGACUUUUACUGACGCUGAGGAACGAAAGCGUGGGUAGCAAACAGG
rnacentral:rRNA from 1 species